rnacentral:lncRNA from 1 species
GUCCUUCUCUUGCACCAGCUGGCUCUGCUUUUUCUGUAGGAGCUUCAUCUGCUUCUGUGAAUUCCGGUGCUCCUCCAGCAGUUCAGCAUACUUCUUGCACAGAGCAGCCAGCUUCUCCUCUGGGGUACUCAGAGUAUUCAAUGUCUGCAUCAGCAACGUGAUCUCCUUCCCCAAACCCUUGGCUUUUUUCUUCUCCUGUGGCCUUCGAUGGUCUCGGUCUCCGACCUCGUCACUCUGCCGGAUCUCUUCUGUGUUUGGAUCCCCCUUGGAGGGUUCCUUCUCUCCAUUGACUACUGGAGUUGGUUCAGGCUCCCCAUUCCUUGCCACAUAGGUCCGGGACUUCUCUGCAUCUUCGGGUUCAGCCGGCUCACCCUGUGCCCCAUCCUCGCCGGGGCCCCCCUGGUUAUUGUCCACACAGUAUGUGCUCAGUAUGUCUUCCAGUUGGCGGCUCAGCUCCUCAGAGACAUCACGAAGGGCCCCAGACUGAGCCGUUCUGGCUUGAGCCCCCUCCGGCUUCCGAGGAGCCUGGCUGCUGCCGGGACCUUCUGCUUCUACUGCAGGAGCCGCCUGGCUGGGCCGCUCCUGGGCUCCCUCGGGUCCUGCUUCCGGUUGUCCUGGGCUGCUUUUUGGAUUGGAUUGUUUGGCAGCCCCGUUCUUUUUGUCUUGGUUCUUCAUUGUG